rnacentral:rRNA from 1 species
GAGUUUGAUCAUGGCUCAGAUUGAACGCUAAGCGGGAUGCCUUACACAUGCAAGUCGAACGGCAGCACGGACUUCGGUCUGGUGGCGAGUGGCGAACGGGUGAGUAAUGUAUCGGAACGUGCCCAGUAGCGGGGGAUAACUACGCGAAAGCGUAGCUAAUACCGCAUACGCUCUACGGGGGAAAGCAGGGGAUCGUAAGACCUUGCACUAUUGGAGCGGCCGAUAUCGGAUUAGCUAGUUGGUGGGGUAACGGCUCACCAAGGCGACGAUCCGUAGCUGGUUUGAGAGGACGACCAGCCACACUGGGACUGAGACACGGCCCAGACUCCUACGGGAGGCAGCAGUGGGGAAUUUUGGACAAUGGGGGAAACCCUGAUCCAGCCAUCCCGCGUGUGCGAUGAAGGCCUUCGGGUUGUAAAGCACUUUUGGCAGGAAAGAAACGUCAUGGGUUAAUACCCCGUGAAACUGACGGUACCUGCAGAAUAAGCACCGGCUAACUACGUGCCAGCAGCCGCGGUAAUACGUAGGGUGCAAGCGUUAAUCGGAAUUACUGGGCGUAAAGCGUGCGCAGGCGGUUCGGAAAGAAAGAUGUGAAAUCCCAGAGCUUAACUUUGGAACUGCAUUUUUAACUACCGGGCUAGAGUGUGUCAGAGGGAGGUGGAAUUCCGCGUGUAGCAGUGAAAUGCGUAGAUAUGCGGAGGAACACCGAUGGCGAAGGCAGCCUCCUGGGAUAACACUGACGCUCAUGCACGAAAGCGUG